GAUGAACGCUGGCGGCGUGCUUAACACAUGCAAGUCGAACGAACCAUUUAAGACAGAUUACUGCGGUUUGAAGUCUUUUAUGACUGAUUGGCGGACGGGUGAGAAACGCGUGGGUAACCUGCCUCAUACAGGGGGAUAGCAGCUGGAAACGGCUGGUAAUACCGCAUAAGCGCCCAGUACCACAUGGUACAGUGUGUAAAACUCCGGUGGCAUGAGAUGGACCCGCGUCUGAUUAGCUUGUUGGCGGGGUAACGGCCCACCAAGGCGACGAUCAGUAGCCGAACUGAGAGGAUGACCGGCCACAUUGGGACUGAGACACGGCCCAGACUCCUACGGGAGGCAGCAGUGGGGAAUAUUGCGCAAUGGAGGAAACUCUGAUGCAGCGACGCCGCGUGAGUGAAGAAGUAGUUAGGUAUGUAAAACUCUAUCAGCAGGGAAGAUAGUGACGGUACCUGAAUAAGAAGCGCCGGCUAAAUACGUG
rnacentral:rRNA from 1 species